UACAGAGGUCCCAAGCGUUGUUCGGAUUCAUUGGGCGUAAAGGGUGUGUAGGUGGCGCCGUAAGUCGGGUGUGAAAUCUCGGGGCUUAACUCCGAAACUGCAUUCGAUACUGCGGUGCUUGAGGACUGGAGAGGAGACUGGAAUUCCUGGUGUAGCGGUGAAAUGCGCAGAUAUCAGGAGGAACACCGGUGGCGAAGGCGGUUCUCUGGGCAUGUCCUGACGCUGAGGAGCGAAAGUGUGGGGAGCGAACAGG
rnacentral:rRNA from 1 species